CCAGGUUCCUGCUGCACAGCCUUCCCAAGGACACCCCCUCGGGCAUCUCUAAAGUGUAUCCUUUCUCUUAUCCCUCCCCCAUCCCACCACCGUUCUUGUCUAAUGGCCCCAAGAAAUUCCUUCCAGAGCACUUUCCUGGCAGAACCUUCCUCUCUCAGCAACCCUCAGGGAAGACAGAGAACUCACCCUCCCACUGCUGUUUGGCUAUAGAGGCUCAGCAGGGAGGCCCAGGGGCCCAGGCCAAGAGAAGAUGAGUUUUCAGGGCUCUCUGAGCUGAACCCAGCAGUGGGUCUCUGGCCAACACACUGUCCCAAUCCCUCCUAGAACCCACAGAUGAGGGUGUGACUGAAAUGGAAGAAGCACCAGGCCUUCAGGCUUGGAACCUUGGGCACUUCUCCAGACUGGGGAGGAGGGAGUGUUUGUUCAGCCCAGGUAUACAUAGCACCUUCUGUGCCCCAAGCCCUGGGCCAGGCACCAGGUGGCAAAGCUGCCAUCAAAGAGGGAGGUCACAAGUUAGGGUCUGGUUUGGUGGAUGUGUGCUGUGUCUGAGGGUGGAAUGAAGCUGAGGUCAGGGCCAUGGUCAGGGAAGUUUACCUGGAGGAGGUGAUGUCCAUCAUGCAAGCUGAGGCAGCCAGGGAAGAUGGCCAAGUGGAUGUUCCGGGGGAGGACCCAGCAUAUGGAGAGGCAAGCAAGGCAUGUGGGAGGGGGUGAGGGGACCCUGGGUGGGAGGGGCCGGAGAGGCAGCAGGACCCAAGGCCUGAGAGCCUACCUUUGGGUUUUCCUCUCUUCUGUAGCCAUCGAGGGCCACAGUGGUGCCAUAAGCAGAGCAGGUGCCUGAAGGGCCUGUGCAGCCAGAUACUGGAUCAUUACCAGGCAAUGAUCCAGAUUUUUAAGGUCUUGGAUGUCAGGAGACAUAAUUGUCCCUGUUCUUUUCUAAAUCUCACUGUACUCUCAGCUCCUUCCCAGCCGCAGCCCCACCUUCCCUCUGUAAGGAAAACCCACUCCACUGGAGAAGACCCAGAGCUCCUUGUUGUAAGAAUUGGCCUCGCUAGAGGAUUCCAGGCCCAUUAUGUACAUUUCAGGGGAAAUACCCUCAAAUCAAGGGGUGCCUUCCUGGAGUCAGACCUCUGCUGCAUGCGUCUCCGUCUUUCCCCAUGGGAGCAGUCAGGGCUAUGCCUGUGGGGGCUGAGCACCUGUACUCAUCCUUUCCAGCAAGUUCUGUUUGAGUCAACAGCUUGAUGGAACCUCUACCCCGAGCCUUACCCUGUGCCAUCCCCUGGGGACCUGGAAAUGGCUCCUGACAGUCCCUGACUUUGAGGAGUCAUGCUGGAGACACAGAAGGAAACUCUCCACAGAACUUCUGAAGUGGACGGGGCUACACUGCAGACGGCGGGAGCAGGAACACUGGGAGAGAUGCGGGAGGAAGGGCAGGAGGGCCUGGGGGCAGCCAACAUCGGAGGUGACCUGAGAGGAGAGCACAAAGGCUCGUCAGCCUCUGGCUGAGGAGCUUCAAGGGGGCCCCAGAGCACAGGCGAGGCUGCCGCUCAGAAACUGCCCACCAGGCCCUCGGGGAAGGGUGUGCAGACAGAGUGGGGUACACCCAGGGGCCUCAGAGCAGGGUUGAGGGUGGCUCCCCAGGGAGUCUGGACCAGGCCCCACCUGGCAGGGUGAGAGCAGAGUGCCCUUUGUGCCAGGCAUCCUAGGAGGGCCUGGCUGGCAGGUUUGGUGAGGCAGGAAGAGCCAUUUUGGCCUAGUCAGGGUAUAAGAUGAGCCAUCAGCAGGCCCAGAGAUGCUAAGCAAGGUUAAAGUAUUAAUGGAAACUACGCUGUUUUUAUCUUUGGAAAAAUUCCUGGGCCUUGCCGUCCGAGAAGUACACUCACCUCUCACAAGCGCACAGAGCCUUCCUCACGGUCUUUCCUCUGCCUUCCCGGCACCAGCACAAGCUGUGUUCCAGCCUGGGGCUCACUCCAAGGACAGGCAGUGCCAGCUCCUGGGCCUGGUGUUGCCCCUGCUGUCCUUAACCCUGUUCACGGCAGGAAAAUACUCUUCACCUUGGCCAAGCAGAGCAAGGCCCUCGGUGCCUACAGGCUGGCCCGGCACGCCUAUGACAAGCUGCGUGGCCUGUACAUCCCUGCCAGAUUCCAAAAGUCCAUUGAGCUGGGUACCCUGACCAUCCGCGCCAAGCCCUUCCACGACAGUGAGGAGUUGGUGCCCUUGUGCUACCGCUGCUCCACCAACAACCCGCUGCUCAACAACCUGGGCAACGUCUGCAUCAACUGCCGCCAGCCCUUCAUCUUCUCCGCGUCUUCCUACGACGUGCUACACCUGGUUGAGUUCUACCUGGAGGAAGGGAUCACUGAUGAAGAAGCCAUCUCCCUCAUCGACCUGGAGGUGCUGAGACCCAAGCGGGAUGACAGACAGCUAGAGAUUGCAAACAACAGCUCCCAGAUUCUGCGGCUAGUGGAGACCAAGGACUCCAUCGGAGAUGAGGACCCGUUCACAGCUAAGCUGAGCUUUGAGCAAGGUGGCUCAGAGUUCGUGCCAGUGGUGGUGAGCCGGCUGGUGCUGCGCUCCAUGAGCCGCCGGGAUGUCCUCAUUAAGCGAUGGCCCCCACCCCUGAGGUGGCAAUACUUCCGCUCGCUGCUGCCUGACGCCUCCAUUACCAUGUGCCCCUCCUGCUUCCAGAUGUUCCAUUCUGAGGACUAUGAGUUGCUGGUGCUUCAGCAUGGCUGCUGCCCCUACUGCCGCAGGUGCAAGGACGACCCUGGCCCAUGACCAGCAUCCUGGGGACGGCCUGCACCCUCUGCCCGCCUUGGGGUCUGCUGGGCUGUGAAGGAGAAUAAAGAGUUAAACUGUCAG
rnacentral:sRNA from 1 species